AUUGAACGCUGGCGGCAGGCCUAACACAUGCAAGUCGAGCGGGGUUUUCGGACCUAGCGGCGGACGGGUGAGUAAUGCGUAGGAAGCUACCCGAAAGAGGGGGAUACCAGUUGGAAACGACUGUUAAUACCGCAUAAUGUCUACGGACUAAAGUGUGGGACCUUCGGCCCACAUUCUACCGGAUGCGUCUACGUGGGAUUAGCUAGUUGGUGGGGUGAUGGCUCCCCAAGGCGACGAUGCCUAGUGGGUUUGAGAGGAUGCUCAUCCACACUGGAGCUGAGACACGGUCCAGACUCCUACGGUAGGCAGCAGUGGGGAAUAUUGGACAAUGGGCGAAAGCCUGAUGCAGCCAUGCCGCGUGUGUGAAGAAGGCCUUCGGGUUGGAAAGCACUUUAAGUAGGGAGGAAGGGUGUUGUGUUAAUAGCACAGCAUUUUGACGUUACCUACAGAAGAAGCACCGGCUAACUCUGUGCCAGCAGCCGCCGUAAUAC
rnacentral:rRNA from 1 species